UUCAACAGAUACGCCCCUCUCAACACAUCGAAAACUCAAGUGCUAAUGGAGGUUAGGGAGUAGCUGCCAAGGUCGGAAAGGAUGCACUCGCACCCUGAAAAGUGCAACCCGAACAAAUUCUGUCUCUAUCACCGUGACCACGGCCACGACACGGAAGAAUGCAUUCAGCUCCAAGAUGAAAUUGAGGAGCUCAUCAGGUGAGGUCGGCUCGACAGAUUCAUUCAACGUCGACCUGAAGGUAGGGAAGACCGGCCUAGGGCCCUGCCGCAGCCGAAGCCGCC
rnacentral:lncRNA from 1 species